rnacentral:rRNA from 1 species
AUUGAACGCUGGCGGCAUGCCUUACACAUGCAAGUCGAACGGCAGCACGGGUGCUUGCACCUGGUGGCGAGUGGCGAACGGGUGAGUAAUACAUCGGAACAUGUCCUGUAGUGGGGGAUAGCCCGGCGAAAGCCGGAUUAAUACCGCUUACGAUCUACGGAUGAAAGCGGGGGACCUUCGGGCCUCGCGCUAUAGGGUUGGCCGAUGGCUGAUUAGCUAGUUGGUGGGGUAAAGGCCUACCAAGGCGACGAUCAGUAGCUGGUCUGAGAGGACGACCAGCCACACUGGGACUGAGACACGGCCCAGACUCCUACCGGAGGCAGCAGUGGGGAAUUUUGGACAAUGGGCGAAAGCCUGAUCCAGCAAUGCCGCGUGUGUGAAGAAGGCCUUCGGGUUGUAAAGCACUUUUGUCCGGAAAGAAAUCCUUGGCCCUAAUACGGUCGGGGGAUGACGGUACCGGAAGAAUAAGCACCGGCUAACUACGUG